rnacentral:rRNA from 1 species
CGCAUACGACCUGAGGGUGAAAGCGGGGGAUCGCAAGACCUCGCGCUAUUGGAGCGGCCGAUAUCAGAUUAGCUAGUUGGUGGGGUAAAGGCCUACCAAGGCGACGAUCUGUAGCUGGUCUGAGAGGACGACUAGCCACACUGGGACUGAGACACGGCCCAGACUCCUACGGGAGGCAGCAGUGGGGAAUUUUGGACAAUGGGCGCAAGCCUGAUCCAGCAAUGCCGCGUGCAGGUAGAAGGCCUUCGGGUUGUAAACUGCUUUUGUCAGGGAAGAAAUCUUCUGGGUUAAUACCUCGGGAGGAUGACGGUACCUGAAGAAUAAGCACCGGCUAACUACGUGCCAGCAGCCGCGGUAAUACAAUCACUAGUGAAUUC